rnacentral:rRNA from 1 species
UACGAAGGGUGCAAGCGUUACUCGGAAUUACUGGGCGUAAAGCGUGCGUAGGUGGUUUGUUAAGUCUGCUGUGAAAGCCCCGGGCUCAACCUGGGAAUGGCAGUGGAUACUGGCAAGCUAGAGUGCGGUAGAGGGUAGUGGAAUUCCCGGUGUAGCGGUGAAAUGCGUAGAGAUCGGGAGGAACACCAGUGGCGAAGGCGGCUACCUGGGGCUUUGCUGACGCUGAUGCGCGAAAGCGUGGGGAGCGAUCCGG